ACAGACGGAUGGGUCUGAGUUUGGUUGGAUGAACAGACGGAUGGAUGUUUCAGAUAAAUCCUUCGUUUCAGGAUCAAACUUUGAGAUUUCUCUGAUUUGUGAUCCGUUUUCUCGGAGGCCCAGAGCUUCACAGGAACCGAGGACGAGUUCUGGGGAUUCAUCUACGACUGAAGGUUCUGCGGGACGGACGGAUUGCUCUGAUGGUUCUGUUCUGGGUCUGUCGCUGAGACCGUCCUGGCUCCACCGUCUCCAUGGUAACAGUUUUUUAUUGGCCGUUGCAGCUUGGAGACUUCCUGCUGUUUUCAUUCCUGAAGUUCUGGACCAAGAGAACCACCUUUGAACAUGUCUGGUUCUACCACAACCCAACUGGUGCGGUCCAUCAGAGCCUUCCUGAUUUCAAUUCUUCUUCUGUGGUUCUGUUUUUACUCUGAUGUCUAACAGGAACCACUGGACCGGAUGAAGGACUGAAUACGACCGGUACCGCUCAGCUUAUUGUCAUCUAUUCUAACUAUUAAAACAUUUCAUCACUGAUAGUAAGUUGGUGGUUUUGGGUCAGAACUUUUCCCGGGUUUCUGUGUAAAGUGAAGAAUCGGUGAAGUCAUGGUUCUGGGCAGAACUCGGACCCGUCCAUGAGUUUUUUCAGGCUUUAUGGGAGUUUCUCCCUCAGAUGUGACUGUCAGGCGCUGAAGAACCACCUGAACCACAGGAGCCAGUGACCCGGUUCUGGACCGAAGCUGAGCGGUUCUGAAAUCGAGGGGUUCUGGACCGAAACUGAGCGGUUCUGAAGUCGAGCGGUUCUGGACCGAAACUGAGCGGUUCUGAAGUUGAGCGGUUCUGGACCGAAGCUGAGCGGUUCUGAAGUUGAGCGGUUCUGGACAGACAGCUGAGUGGACAAGGUCCAGAGAAGAACCUGGAGGAGUAUCAGGAAGUCUCCAUGGCAACGAGACAGGUCCAACCUGAUCACGUGACCUGUUGACUGACGGGUCAGAAGGUUAAAGGUCAGGCCUGAGCUACUAAACAGCGAGGUCAGAGGUCGAGCUGUUCAAUGACGGUGAUGAAGACGCCUCCUCUUCCUCUCUCUUUGUAGCUCCGUGUCUCUGAUGUGAGGCACUCGGCGAACUCGGAGCUCCGGUCCAGAUUAAAGGAGAGGAGGCCUCCUUUAUUUUUAGACCUUCAUGUUUAAUGGAUGGACCCGCCUCCUCCUCGGGCCGCCGCCUCGUCGCCGUGGAAACCUGCAGGAAGCAGAGGAGCUGUCACGCCAUCCUGCUGCCGAUGGAGACGAGUCAGACCUGGAGGGGAGGAUUCGAGUCACCAAAGCACCUGAGGAAGGGAUGACCUGAGUGGGACCUGGAGUCCGAGUCGGUUCUGAACUGAACCAUCCUAGUCAGACCUGAAUAGGAUGGAAAAAAUGAAACGAGUCAGACCAAGACAUGAACAAGUUAUCCAAGUCAAAUCUAACCAAAUUAUCCAAGUCAGACUUGUAUAGGACAAAGAAAUAAUCCAAGUCAGACCUAGACGAUAUAAACAGAAUCAUCCGAGUCAGACUUGGUUGGGAUCAGUCAAGUCAGACCGAGUUUUAUGGUUCUGAGCUGGAGAGUUCCUCCGAGUCCAGCAGGUCCAUUCUGGACCAGCAGCUCCUCCGAGUCCAGCAGGUCUGGUCUGGACCAGCAGCUCCUCCGAGUCCAGCAGGUCUGGUCUGGACCAGCAGCUCCUCCGAGUCCAGCAGGUCCGGUCUGGACCAGCAGUUCCUCCGAGUCCAGCAGGUCCAUUCUGGACCAGCAGCUCCUCCGAGUCCAGCAGGUCCGGUCUGGACCAGCAGCUCCUCCGAGUCCAGCAGGUCUGGUCUGGACCAGCAGCUUCUUCCUUGUGACUUUUUGAAACUUUGCAGGUCUCAGUAGAACUUUGGGCUGAUUUCUGUUUGAUUAUUGAUCCCAAACUGUUUGGAUGUUUUUGAUUUUCCUGUAUUUGAUCAGAAUUGUAUUCUAGUUUUUUCUGGAUUCUGUUUAUUCGACAUCCUGGCCUCACAGUUUAACGGAGUGAAAUCAGAUCAGAUUAUCCUCUAAACUCGUUCAUGUUUCGGUUUACAAAUCAACACAAACUGGAUUAAACGCAAAGUGUUCACACA